AGCUAGCCCACACGUACACACACGCGCGCGCACACAAAAUACACUCACUACCUCUUUCAUUCCCACAACACCUAGCUCUAAGGAAGAAGAGGAACAUCAAGCUGUACUUCCCAAUCUGUCCCCAAAGAAAUUAGACGGUACAUGAUCAUGAGGAAGAAGACGACAUCAAGCAUGUAGAAUUGGUGAGCCACAUCGAAGCUUCUAGCCGAAAGAGGCAAGAUCAUUUACCCCAUCUGGGCUUGAAGUCGGAGAGUGGAGCGAUCUCAACCAAUUUCGACCUCUAAACUUGAGGAUCCAGAUUUACCUUCAUUCUUCAGAAAAAAGCUUGAUCCGCUAGAGGCUUAUAUACCUGCUGUUAUAUUGUCUCAGUUGCAGUUUAAGAAUUUAGGGAAAACUCUGGAAGUUAAUCAACCAUAAUAUGUUGCCUGCCUGAGUAUAUUACGUUAUGGCCUGCAGCGUCCCUUCGUGUAAAUAUUCGUGCAAGCAGAGGAGGAGGAAAUUGAAGAGGAAAAAAGAUAGCCAAAUUUCAGCAUUCGUGGUCCCACAAAAUCCAUAAAUUCCUCCAAAAUGGGUCCAAAAAAAAGGAGGAAGGGAGAGAAAUGCUACUGUGACUACAUUAAGGAAUCAAGGAAAUAACGGAAGCUUUAGCCUUAUAUAAUAUGUGUGUAAAUUCACCCCCACGUGUCCAGGAGCAGAAGGAUCAGAAUCUCCAUGAUUCCAGUCUACAACAAAGUGUAUUCUCACCAGGAUAUCAAGUUCUCUAAAAUAAUCAAGUUCAUGUUUCAUCUUGGAUAGCUUUGAUUCAUCAUUUGGGUUGCUUUAAAUUGUUAUUGCAAGGGUUUUCAAGCUUCUUUGAGGUCAUGGCAUGAAUGGUGUAAAGGGUGUUCCUCCUCAGCUGUAAACAGAGUUAGGGCUGGUGUUGUUGUGUUUUGUUCCGUAUGAUAGACUAUGUUUUGUUUUAUAUUUCUUUAGAGUAUUCCUGGCAUGUAAUAAAUGUUAUUUCAGGCUUUAAAACUUUAAAGUUAUAAUAUAUGCGUCUUACCUAUUUACUUUCA